CCGAAGCUCCGGACCUCUAACCUGGUCCUGUCGGCGACGUCUACCUCUACCUCUUGGCAUUGUUAUAACUAUUAUAAUCAUAAAUACAGAUUAGAUACAUACAUCAAGUCUUUAAAGUCCAGAUCAUAUUUAAACAUGUAUGAAUUUAACAUAUGAUAAAUUACUCAAAUUUAAAUAAAUUGAAAUACCAAAAUGUUUACACUGCGUAGUCUUAACUGAACUUUUGAUACAUUUUUAUGCAUCAAAUCAAAUGAAGUUGAUUAUAAAAACAUAACUCAAAACAGCUACGAUGUGUGCUUUCUUAACAAAAUAAACAUCGUUUUAAAAACGUUUGAUAGCUUCUAUUACCAAGCUUAACUUAAUUAAACUAUGUUUCCGCAAAUUAAACACACAUGUAUAAAUCAUGUAACGUUUAAUAAAAUUAAACUUUUCCGGUCAUGUUAAUGAUAACACGGCAUACACAACAUACAUUGUAAUUACCUGUUCAAAGUGUAUCGCUUAUUACAUUUAAAACAAAA
rnacentral:lncRNA from 1 species